rnacentral:lncRNA from 1 species
CAAAUUGCAAAACUAGGAUAUUAAAAUUUAAAUUACAUGGUUCAUCGAUCUCUAAGCACAUAAAAAUCUAACCUAGCAUGAUUAAAAUAACAAAAUACAUCAGGUUUUGAGUAAUAAGCAUCACUGGAUUAUAAAAGCUUGAAGAAAUCUUGAAAUUCUAAUAGCCAAUCUUCGUUCUUGCGCUCCAAAUCCUUUUUAAAAAGUGUUUUUCUGCCUCCCAAUGCGUUCUGGUCGUUUCUGGACCUUUUUUGAUAUUUAUAUCCCGUGAAUAUUAGGUUACCAAAGGAGUUUUAAUCGCAUAAGGAAAGAAAAUUUCGUAUCGGAAAUACUACCAUACGACCGCAUGGUUUUAAUCAGUGCGGCCGCAUGGUUAUUCCAUGUUUUGAUAAAAAUUCCCUACAUUCAUUCGUGCGGCUGCACGAGAGUUCUACCAUGUGGCCGCAUGGUAGACUCCAACUUCUAUUCUCUUCAAUUUAGUCCCUUUACUUGAAUAUUUCACUUCUAGACCUCUUUUCUUCACUCUUUCCAUUCCAUCAUCUCAAGACAUCAUCAAUUGGCAUUUGGUUCAACCAAUUCCUUGAUUUGUUCAUCGGGUCAACUUUUGGGUAAUUGCAUCUUAGUCCUUGAACUUUCACUUUGUGUCAUUUUAGUGAUUUUUCGCGUCUUCUCUCAUGAAUUUCACCAUGUUCAUUGGUGUUCCCUACAAUUCACAAAUGUAACGU